CGAUGAUCCGGUGCUUGCGCCGGGGAUUAGUGGCGAACGGGUGAGUAACACGUGAGUAACCUGCCCUUGACUCUGGGAUAAGCCUGGGAAACUGGGUCUAAUACCGGAUAUGACUCCUCAUCGCAUGGUGGGGGGUGGAAAGCUUUUGUGGUUUUGGAUGGACUCGCGGCCUAUCAGCUUGUUGGUGAGGUAAUGGCUCACCAAGGCGACGACGGGUAGCCGGCCUGAGAGGGUGACCGGCCACACUGGGACUGAGACACGGCCCAGACUCCUACGGGAGGCAGCAGUGGGGAAUAUUGCACAAUGGGCGCAAGCCUGAUGCAGCGACGCCGCGUGAGGGAUGACGGCCUUCGGGUUGUAAACCUCUUUCAGUAGGGAAGAAGCGAAAGUGACGGUACCUGCAGAAGAAGCGCCGGCUAACUACGUGCCAGCAGCCGCGGUAAUACGUAGGGCGCAAGCGUUAUCCGGAAUUAUUGGGCGUAAAGAGCUCGUAGGCGGUUUGUCGCGUCUGCCGUGAAAGUCCGGGGCUCAACUCCGGAUCUGCGGUGGGUACGGGCAGGCUAGAGUGAUGUAGGGGAGACUGGAAUUCCUGGUGUAGCGGUGAAAUGCGCAGAUAUCAGGAGGAACACCGAUGGCGAAGGCAGGUCUCUGGGCAUUAACUGACGCUGAGGAGCGAAAGCAUGGGGAGCGAACAGGAUUAGAUACCCUGGUAGUCCAUGCCGUAAACGUUGGGCACUAGGUGUGGGGGACAUUCCACGUUUUCCGCGCCGUAGCUAACGCAUUAAGUGCCCCGCCUGGGGAGUAC
rnacentral:rRNA from 1 species